UGGGGAAUAUUGCACAAUGGAGGGAACUCUGAUGCAGCGACGCCGCGUGAACGAAGAAGGCUUUCGAGUCGUAAAGUUCUUUUAUAUGGGAAGAUAAUGACGGUACCAUAAGAAGAAGCCCCGGCUAACUACGUGCCAGCAGCCGCGGUAAUACGUAGGGGGCUAGCGUUGUCCGGAAUCACUGGGCGUAAAGGGUUCGCAGGCGGAAAUGCAAGUCAGGUGUAAAAGGCAGUAGCUUAACUACUGUAAGCAUUUGAAACUGCAUAUCUUGAGAAGAGUAGAGGUAAGUGGAAUUGUUAGUGUAGCGGUGAAAUGCGUAGAUAUGAAAAAGAAUACCGGUGGCGAAGGCGACUUACUGGGCUCAUUCUGACGCUGAGGAACGAAAGCGUGGGUAGCAAACAGG
rnacentral:rRNA from 1 species